AUCUAAGUAGUUUAUAAAAACAUUAAUAUGUGAAAUUAAAAAUAACUUCAAUAAGUUUUUGGAUUAU
rnacentral:tRNA from 1 species